UCUCUCCCAAGUUCUAUGAAAACUUUAACCAAAGUAAAGGGACAAUUAGCAUAAUUUCAAGUGACAGUAGACCUGCUGACCAAGUCCCUGGCUAUCCAAAAAUUGACUCUGGCUGGGGGUGAGGGGUUAAUGAAAUUUACCUCCCUGAAAACAGGAGUUGUGACUGUAUGCUGGCGGCCAGAUUCGAAAGGGUUCAUCACCAAUAUUCUGUGGCGGUGAAGGGUGAGGUUGACAGAAUUGGGGUGCUGGAUACCAUAGUACAUGGACUGGCUCUGCCACCACGUGGGCUCUUCAUUCCUGUU